rnacentral:rRNA from 1 species
AGGGCGCACGGUGGAUGCCUUGGCACUAGGAGCCGAUGAAGGACGGGACUAACACCGAUAUGCUUUGGGGAGCUGUACGUAAGCUAUGAUCCAGAGAUUUCCGAAUGGGGGAACCCAACAUCUUUAAUAGGAUGUUACGAUUGUGUGAAUACAUAGCACAUUCGAGGUAGACGCAGAGAACUGAAACAUCUAAGUACCUGCAGGAAGAGAAAGAAAAUUCGAUUCCCUGAGUAGCGGCGAGCGAAACGGGAAAAGCCCAAACCAGCAAGCUUGCUUGUUGGGGUUGUAGGACUCCAAUAUGGUAGUUCUUUCAGAUAGUCGAAUGACUUGGAAAAGUCAGUCAAAGAGGGUAAAAACCCCGUAGACGAAAUGUGGAAGACACCUAGGAGGAUCCUGAGUACGGCGGAACACGAGAAAUUCCGUCGGAAUCCGGGAGGACCAUCUCCCAAGGCUAAAUACUCCCUAGUGACCGAUAGUGAACCAGUACCGUGAGGGAAAGGUGAAAAGCACCCCGGAAGGGGAGUGAAAUAGAACCUGAAACCGUGUGCCUACAACAAGUCAAAGCCCGUUAAUGGGUGAUGGCGUGCCUUUUGUAGAAUGAACCGGCGAGUUACGAUUGCAUGCGAGGUUAAGUUGAAGAGACGGAGCCGCAGCGAAAGCGAGUCUGAAUAGGGCGUUUGAGUAUGUAGUCGUAGACCCGAAACCAUGUGAUCUACCCAUGUCCAGGUUGAAGGUGCGGUAAAACGCACUGGAGGACCGAACCCACGUACGUUGAAAAGUGCGGGGAUGAGGUGUGGGUAGCGGAGAAAUUCCAAACGAACUUGGAGAUAGCUGGUUCUCUCCGAAAUAGCUUUAGGGCUAGCCUCGGAAUUGAGAAUGAUGGAGGUAGAGCACUGUUUGGACUAGGGGCCCAUCUCGGGUUACCGAAUUCAGAUAAACUCCGAAUGCCAUUCAUUCAUAUCCGGGAGUCAGACUGUGAGUGAUAAGAUCCAUAGUCGAAAGGGAAACAGCCCAGACCACCAGCUAAGGUCCCAAAAUAUAUGUUAAGUGGAAAAGGAUGUGGGGUUGCACAGACAACUAGGAUGUUGGCUUAGAAGCAGCCAUCAUUUAAAGAGUGCGUAAUAGCUCACUAGUCGAGUGACCCUGCGCCGAAAAUGUACCGGGGCUAAACAUAUUACCGAAGCUGUGGAGUACACCUUUAGGUGUAUUGGUAGGAGAGCGUUCUAAGGGCGUUGAAGGCAGAUCGUGAGGACUGCUGGAGCGCUUAGAAGUGAGAAUGCCGGUAUGAGUAGCGAAAGACAGGUGAGAAUCCUGUCCACCGAAUGACUAAGGUUUCCUGGGGAAGGCUCGUCCGCCCAGGGUUAGUCGGGACCUAAGCCGAGGCCGACAGGCGUAGGCGAUGGAUAACAGGUUGAUAUUCCUGUACCCGUUGUUUUUGUUUGAGCAAUGGAGGGACGCAGGAGGCUAAGGAAUGCAGACGAUCGGAAAUGUCUGUCCAAGCAGUAAGUCUGAAGAGGAGUCAAAUGCUUCUUUUCUUAAGGACAAGCUGUGAUGGGGAGGGAAAUAAUAGUACCGAAGUUCCUGAUGUCACACUGCCGAGAAAAGCUUCUAGUGAGAAAACAGCGGCCCGUACCGCAAACCGACACAGGUAGUCGAGGAGAGAAUCCUAAGGUGAGCGAGAGAACUCUCGUUAAGGAACUCGGCAAAAUGACCCCGUAACUUCGGGAGAAGGGGUGCUGAUCAUACGAUCAGCCGCAGUGAAUAGGCCCAAGCGACUGUUUAUCAAAAACACAGGUCUCUGCAAAAUCGUAAGAUGAAGUAUAGGGGCUGACGCCUGCCCGGUGCUGGAAGGUUAAGAGGAGUGCUUAGCGCAAGCGAAGGUACGAAUUGAAGCCCCAGUAAACGGCGGCCGUAACUAUAACGGUCCUAAGGUAGCGAAAUUCCUUGUCGGGUAAGUUCCGACCCGCACGAAAGGCGUAACGAUUUGGGCACUGUCUCAACGAGAGACUCGGUGAAAUUUUAGUACCUGUGAAGAUGCAGGUUACCCGCGACAGGACGGAAAGACCCCAUGGAGCUUUACUGUAGUUUGAUAUUGAGUGUCUGUACCGCAUGUACAGGAUAGGUAGGAGCCGUAGAAAUCGGAACGCUAGUUUCGAUGGAGGCGCUGGUGGGAUACUACCCCUGCGUUAUGGCCACUCUAACCCGCACCACUAAUCGUGGUGGGAGACAGUGUCAGAUGGGCAGUUUGACUGGGGCGGUCGCCUCCUAAAAGGUAACGGAGGCGCCCAAAGGUUCCCUCAGAAUGGUUGGAAAUCAUUCGAAGAGUGUAAAGGCAGAAGGGAGCUUGACUGCGAGACCAACAAGUCGAGCAGGGACGAAAGUCGGGCUUAGUGAUCCGGUGGUUCCGCAUGGAAGGGCCAUCGCUCAACGGAUAAAAGCUACCCUGGGGAUAACAGGCUUAUCUCCCCCAAGAGUCCACAUCGACGGGGAGGUUUGGCACCUCGAUGUCGGCUCGUCGCAUCCUGGGGCUGUAGUCGGUCCCAAGGGUUGGGCUGUUCGCCCAUUAAAGCGGCACGCGAGCUGGGUUCAGAACGUCGUGAGACAGUUCGGUCCCUAUCCGUCGCGGGCGUUGGAAAUUUGAGAGGAGCUGUCCUUAGUACGAGAGGACCGGGAUGGACUUACCGCUGGUGUACCAGUUGUUCUGCCAAGGGCAUUGCUGGGUAGCUAUGUAGGGAAGGGAUAAACGCUGAAAGCAUCUAAGUGUGAAGCCCACCUCAAGAUGAGAUUUCCCAUUUCU